rnacentral:rRNA from 1 species
AUUGAACGCUGGCGGCAUGCCUUACACAUGCAGGUCGAACGGCAGCACGGGAGCAAUCCUGGUGGCGAGUGGCGAACGGGUGAGUAAUAUAUCGGAACGUGCCCAGUAGUGGGGGAUAACUGCUCGAAAGAGCAGCUAAUACCGCAUACGACCUGAGGGUGAAAGGGGGGGAUCGCAAGACCUCUCGCUAUUGGAGCGGCCGAUAUCAGAUUAGCUAGUUGGUGGGGUAAAGGCCUACCAAGGCAACGAUCUGUAGUUGGUCUGAGAGGACGACCAGCCACACUGGGACUGAGACGCGGCCCAGACUCCUACGGGAGGCAGCGAUGGGGAAUUUUGGACAAUGGGCGCAAGCCUGAUCUAGCAAUGCCGCGUGCAGGAAGAAGGCCUUCGGGUUGUAAACUGCUUUUGUCAGGGAAGAAAUCCUCUAGGUUAAUACCCUUGGGGGGAUGACGGUACCUGAAGAAUAAGCACCGGCUAACUACGUGCCAGCAGCCGCAGUAACAC